rnacentral:rRNA from 1 species
CGUCUAUAUACGUAUAGCAUAUCAAUAAGCGGAGGAAAAGAAACUAACAAGGAUUCCCCUAGUAACGGCGAGUGAAGCGGGAAGAGCUCAAAUUUGAAAUCUUAAAGGGUUUCCCUUUACGAAUUGUAGUUUAAAGAAGUGUUUUCUGUUGGAGUUUCGGUAAAAGUUCUUUGGAAUAGGACAUCAUAGAGGGUGAGAAUCCCGUAUUUGACCGUUACUUUCCAGCUGUGUGAUGCACUUUCAAAGAGUCGGAUUGUUUGGGAAUGCAGUCCAAGAUGGGUGGUAAAUUUCAUCUAAAGCUAAAUAUUGGCGAGAGACCGAUAGCGAACAAGUACCGUGAGGGAAAGAUGAAAAGAACUUUGAAAAGAGAGUUAAACAGUACGUGAAAUUGUCAAAAGGGAAGCGUUUGACACCAGUGUUGUUUAGUUGAAAAUCAAUUCAAUAGUUUUUGAUUCUAAGUAGUAUUGACUUCAUCAGCUUGCUGCUUUCUUCUCAGAAAUUAUUGAAUGCACUUUUCAGUUAACAAGUCAACAUCAAUUUCUUUUGUUGUAAAAGGGUAAGAGGAAGGUGGCUUGCGCUUCGGCUCAAGUGUUUAUAGCCUUUUAUCUCUGCAAUCGGAGAGAUUGAGGUCUGCAGCGUAGAUCCUUCGGGGUUAGAUACAUUGGUGCUAAGCUAUAGCCUUGUAUAGACAACUUGUUGACUAUGCUCAGUCAUGUAGCUUACUCGCUGAUGCUAUUUUACCUACGCUUAGGAUGUUGACGCGCGUGUGUGCGUG